UGAUAGUAUUAUUCUUUUCCAACAGGAGAAAGGGUAAGAAGAUGAACAAGAAUAAGGAGAAAGAUUUAGCCAUUGUGAAUGGAGAAUCAGAGCCCAGUACCAGUGGCCUUGCUCAGACGGAAGGGCUAGGUAUGAAUGCACAUGUCCCACCUCGUCUCAUUCCGGAGGUGGAGAGGUACAUGCGGAAGAUGCAACUGCAGAA